rnacentral:tRNA from 1 species
UAUAUAUUAGUAUAAUGAAGUACGUAAAGUUUUGAUCUUUGAAGGGAUAAGUUUGAUUCUAUCAUAUAUAA